rnacentral:rRNA from 1 species
AGAGUUUGAUCAUGGCUCAGGAUGAACGCUAGCGGCAGGCUUAAUACAUGCAAGUCGAGGGGCAUCAAGGUACACGAAAGUGUAUUGUUGGCGACCGGCGGACGGGUGAGUAAUAGGUAGGUAACCUACCUCAUACUGAGGCAUAGCUGGGAGAAAUUCCAGGUAAUUCCUCAUGAGGUUAUAUGACACAUGUGAUAUAAUCAAAGGUAUCGCAAGGUACUGGUAUGAGAUGGGCUUACUGACCAUUAGCUAGUUGGUGAGAUAAGAGCUCACCAAGGCGAAGAUGGUUAGGGGUUUUGAGAGAGAGAUCCCCCACAUUGGAACUGAGAUACGGUCCAGACUCCUACGGGAGGCAGCAGUAGGGAAUAUUGGGCAAUGGGCGGAAGCCUGACCCAGCCAUGCCGCGUGAAGGAAGACGGCCUUAUGGGUUGUAAACUUCUUUACUAUGCGACUAACUAGAUUUACGAGAUAAUUCUAUAGAAUGUAGCAUAGCAAAAAGCACCGGCUAACUCCGUGCCAGCAGCCGCGGUAAUACGGAGGGUGCGAGCGUUAUUCGGAAUCACUGGGUUUAAAGGGUGCGUAGGCGGCUAAGUAAGUUGUCAUUGAAAGGCUACAGCUCAACUGUAGUAGUGGUGGCGAUACUGCUUAGCUAAGAACAUGGGAGGGGUACUUGGAAUGUGUGGUGUAGCGGUGAAAUGCGUAGAUAUCACACAGAACACCAGAGGCGAAGGCGGAGUACUAGACCAUAGUUGACGCUGAGGCACGAAAGCGUGGGGAUCAAACAGGAUUAGAUACCCUGNUAGUCCACGCCCUAAACGAUGAUCACUAGAUAUUGGCGACAAACAGUCAGUGUCCAAGCGAAAGUGAUAAGUGAUCCACCUGGGGACUACGGCCGCANGGUUAAAACUCAAAUGAAUUGACGG